rnacentral:rRNA from 1 species
GGUUUUAAACCUAAUGGCUCUUUCAUGAUUAUAUGAUAGGUGGUGCAUGGCCGUUCUUAGUUCGUGGAGUGAUCUGUCUGCUUAAUUGCGUUUCAAAUUUUUAUUUGAGGACCAGGUUUUGGUUUGGGUAGUGGUCCUACGAUGACUGUGAACUGUCAUGUCUUCGGAUGUGCGACUAUCGGUCUAGGAUCGCAUCUCAGCCCCUGGGACUCUUUUGAACGCAACGGACGUGAUUGCAACCCCUUGUUGAGAUUAGAGGAGUCUCGAUAUUCAUUGGCCAAACUUACCGCUUCGAGCUUGCUCGUGCAGUUUUGUUAGCCGGUGGAUAAACUCGGGGGACUGCUGACUAUAACCAUUUCUCAAAACAGAGGAAGGUUGCGGCAAUAACAGGUCUGUGAUGCCCUUAGAUGUCCCGGGCUGCACACGUGCUACAAUGAGUGGCGCAAUG